rnacentral:rRNA from 1 species
UGAACGCUGGCGGCACGCUUAACACAUGCAAGUCGAACGAGAUCUUCGGAUCUAGUGGCAGACGGGUGAGUAACGCGUGGGAACCUGCCCUUUAGUAGAGAAUAACUCGGGGAAACUCGAGCUAAUACUUUAUGCGCCCUUCGGGGGAAAGCUUUAUGCGCUAUUGGAUGGGCCCGCGUUAGAUUAGUUUGUUGGUGAGGUAACGGCUCACCAAGGCUACGAUCUAUAGCUGGUCUGAGAGGAUGAUCAGCCACACUGGGACUGAGACACGGCCCAGACUCCUACGGGAGGCAGCAGUGGGGAAUAUUGGACAAUGGGGGCAACCCUGAUCCAGCGAUGCCGCGUGAGUGAUGAAGGCCCUAGGGUUGUAAAGCUCUUUUGUCAGGGAAGAUAAUGACGGUACCUGAAGAAUAAGAUCCGGCUAA